rnacentral:rRNA from 1 species
UCGAACGGAAAGGCCCUGCUUGCAGGGUACUCGAGUGGCGAACGGGUGAGUAACACGUGGGUGAUCUGCCCUGCACUUCGGGAUAAGCCUGGGAAACUGGGUCUAAUACCGGAUAGGAGCCAUUUUUAGUGUGAUGGUUGGAAAGUUUUUUCGGUGUAGGAUGAGCUCGCGGCCUAUCAGCUUGUUGGUGGGGUAAUGGCCUACCAAGGCGGCGACGGGUAGCCGGCCUGAGAGGGUGGACGGCCACAUUGGGAAUGAGAUACGGCCCAGACUCCUACGGGAGGCAGCAGUGGGGAAUAUUGCACAAUGGGCGCAAGCCUGAUGCAGCGACGCCGCGUGGGGGAUGACGGCCUUCGGGUUGUAAACUCCUUUCGCUAGGGACGAAGCUUUUUGUGACGGUACCUAGAUAAGAAGCACCGGCUAACUACGUGCCAGCAGCCGCGGUAAUACGUAGGGUGCGAGCGUUGUCCGGAAUUACUGGGCGUAAAGGGCUCGUAGGUGGUUUGUCGCGUCGUCUGUGAAAUUCCGGGGCUUGACUCCAGGCGUGCAGGCGAUACGGGCAUAACUUGAGUACUGUAGGGGUAACUGGAAUUCCUGGUGUAGCGGUGAAGUGCGCAGAUAUCAGGAGGAACACCGAUGGCGAAGGCAGGUUACUGGGCAGUUACUGACGCUGAGGAGCGAAAGCAUGGGUAGC